UUUACUGUAUCUAAUGAAUUUCAUUUAUAUUUUAGAAAAAAAAUUGACAUAUAGGACCUCAAUCGAGAUUUGGACUAAUAAUAAUAGACUAAUUGAUAGAUCCAUUGUAUUGAAAAAUUGACUUCCAUUCCUCUCCUUUUUUGUUAAUCAAUUCAUUCUAUUUAAUUUAAUUUAAUUUAAUCAGUUGCGGAAAUUUUAAGCAAAAAUCCUUUCGCAACUCUCACGCACGGCAGUCACGUUAUUUAAUUAGCUGUGCCCAGUAUGUCGCUUGGUACCCACCGCAUUGAAUAAUUAUUGAUACUCUGCAUGGGGAAGCUAUCCAGUGGGUGGGAGCGAUACGCGAAGAUAGUGACGUGGUCGGAAGAGACUGGUUAAUUUGGAUGGCUCGGCCGGAUAGUUUGACUUUGAUUUGAACUUUGUUGGUUUAAGCUAAUGUUAAUGCGAAACGUGGCGACGUUCAGAGAAGUGGAUGGUUUAAGAAAACGGGGUCCCCUGUCCCGUCCUAAUUACCGGCGUGGGGUCCGCAAUUGCUUGACCCCGAUUGACUUGACUCUCAAGUCUCAGGUCAUGAUUCGACCCGAUUGACGUGUGCCAAAACCGAAUUGUGAGAGUUUAAUUAGACUUUUUUUUUGUGGUAAAAUAAUAGAUUU
rnacentral:lncRNA from 1 species